CAACAAAAAGACAGGGAGUGAGAAUAAGGGAAUAACAAAAAGACAAAAAUGGGGGGUCCACUACACUUGCAUACCUGAUUGUGAUGCUGUCACUCAUUUUCUAGUCUAUAUCUUGGACUGAAAAAGGAUGCUUUGCCCCUGUGGUUGUGAAGAGGAUGCUGUGGAGGUGGCAGCAUGAACGUGUCACACAGACAUUGGCUAAACUACUCGGCUUCUACACUUGCCCUCAGAGUUCACAUAUGGUGAAGUGCACAGGUGUCCAGUCAGGUUCAGACUGAUGCUGGUAACAAGAGGAAAACAUGCUAAUUGGUCAGUCCAUGAGCCCACGUCUUCAGGUCAUGGGCCUGAGAAGAAUCUACCGUUACAGGGGUCAGAAGAGAUCCUCAAACUAUGCUGACAUUACUACCCCUGUACUUCAACCCCUCUGCUGCCACUGGGUCCUCAACGAGAAAAUAAACUGAUCCCCCCCCCCCCCCAAUCCAUUCCUUUUUCCACCGUCACAUCACACCAUGCCUAUGCACAUUAACACCACCAAUGAGCCUAGAAAACUAGGACAACAGUGAGGAUGAAUUUAGAAACCGCUUCCACGUAUUGUACUAUUUCUGAAAAAGCAUUGGUAUUGGCCUUCUAUCUCCACGUAGCCAUAUCAAAAAACCUGCCUAAAAAAAAAUCAAUUUUGUCGUGUUUCCGCUUAAAAAGGAAUUUAGAAACCGCUUCCACGUAUUGUACUAUUUCUGAAAAAGCAUUGGUAUUGGCCUUCUAUCUCCAUGUAGCCAUAUCAAAAAACCUGCCUCAAAAAAAAAAAACAAUUUUGUCGUGUUUCCGCUUAAAAAGGAGAACAAAAUAUCCACAUGUAAAAUUAUCCUGCUACGUGGAAAUGGCACCUUACUAAAUAAAUAACAACUGCAUAGUUAUUCUGUUCAAUUUAUGAGUAACUAUGUAAAUUAUGAUUAACUUUUUGGCUGAUAUGGGACACUGCAUGAAAAGAGGAAUUUGUGGAUGAGUUUUGCACCUUAAAUUGCCUCAUACCUCAAGCCACAGCAUUUGCGGCUCCCCCAUGCCCCCCUCCCAUCCCCUUCUUAGAAGAGCCUUUAAUAUGUAAAUGCCAGUGAUCAGGUCGGGAGCUGCCCCAGUCAAUUUCAAGUGGGGUGGGGUGGGGUGAGGUCAGGUGGGUGGGAGGGAGUGGGGGGUCGGCAGGCCUGUUUCUAGGA